AGACAAGGUCUAUGUAUGAUAGAAUUUAUCUUUAAAAGGUUUAUAAUUACAUUUCUUUUAGGUGUUUUAUGAACUACUAGAUGAGUACCCGCACUAUGUGCGGGUUUACGUAUUACUAUUUACAAAUUGUUUUAUAUAAUGUCUGUUCAUAUAAAGUAAAGUUGAAUGCAUAGGUUUUGAAACAUAAAUAUGAUUUGUAAUUGUUUUUGAAAAGCCCAACUAUAUUAGUUCAUCUGAAAAACGAAUGUGCUUGAGUUGUUUUUUAUUGUUGUUUUAGAUUCUCAGUUUUUUUUGAAUUUAUAUAUCCUUGCUUUUUUAGUUAUAUGUAUAGAUUGUGAGACGGUGAAAUUUUAGAAAAUUUAUUUCUUACACUAAAAAUAUAACAUGUUCUUAUUAAUCAUGUCUCUGCAUAUUCAAUCUAAGCAUAUUCAACUUGAUGUUUUUGGAAAUUUUAGUUAAGUUUUUGUCAUAAUCUUAUAUCUUACGUAUUAGUUAUAAGGAUAACUCCUCAAAUAUCUUUCAAAUUACUUGUUUUCUUAGCAUAAAUCUCGAAAAACUUAGAUAUAUUUAAUCUGCAUAUUCAUUUAGUUUCUUUCAUAAUAAUCGUCUAAUUUUUAGGCCAGGAAUAUGUGUAACAUGUUUGGAUUUUAUCAUCACUUUAGCCACUUAAGUAGAUCUCAAAAUUAAAGAGGAUAUAUUGAAUUAAAAAAUGUAGAAAGAGUGAUGGUUCAAGUUCUCAUUAAUUAUAUUCUCCUAUUUAAAUUGUUAUGUUGAAUUAAUUACUAAUUAUGUAUUAUUUAUUUUAUGAAGUCUACGUGGCAAGCUCUCAUAUGCUGAUGUGUCAAGUUGUGGGAGAGAGUUAGUCUUCUUUCAUAUAUAUGAUUCAUUGAAACUCAAACCAAAAUGUAAUGUAGAUUUUCACAAGAAA
rnacentral:sRNA from 1 species